GACGAACGCUGGCGGCGUGCUUAACACAUGCAAGUCGAACGGAAAGGCCCUGCUUUUGUGGGGUGCUCGAGUGGCGAACGGGUGAGUAACACGUGAGUAACCUGCCCUUGACUUUGGGAUAACUUCAGGAAACUGGGGCUAAUACCGGAUAGGAGCUCCUGCUGCAUGGUGGGGGUUGGAAAGUUUCGGCGGUUGGGGAUGGACUCGCGGCUUAUCAGCUUGUUGGUGGGGUAGUGGCUUACCAAGGCUUUGACGGGUAGCCGGCCUGAGAGGGUGACCGGGGACGGUGGGGGGGAGGGAGGGGCGGGAGGGGGGGGGGGGGGGGGGGGGGGGGGGGGGGGGGGGUGGGCGGAAGCCUGAUGCAGCAACGCCGCGUGCGGGAUGACGGCCUUCGGGUUGUAAACCGCUUUCGCCUGUGACGAAGCGUGAGUGACGGUAAUGGGUAAAGAAGCACCGGCUAACUACGUG
rnacentral:rRNA from 1 species